rnacentral:lncRNA from 1 species
CGUUGUGUUAGAGGACUGAGAAUAGAAGUAUUUCAAACUCCUGAUACUGUGAGUAACCUUAUCAUCAUCUUGAUUAUCUGAAGUGAAUUUUAAUUCGUUUUUUGAUUUUAUGGAAAAUGAGUUUAAAUGGCAAAUCUUUAUGUUUUAUAAGCAAAAAUGUGAUAAAUGAAAUGAUUUUAUAAAAUUGUCUUGAAAUUGAAAAAUGGUUUUGAAAAUGGAGUAAUUGGAGACUAAUUGCUGUGUUAUAAAUCAUGGUUUGAAUUGAAUGGCUUAUAAUAAUAUUGGCAUGAAUGGUUGAAUUGGUAAAUGUGCUAAAAAUGUAUGAACUGUUGAUUUGCCUUGAGAGGCUGUAAAAUAAAAUAAUUACCAUGUCAUGCUGUUGCAAAUUUUAUUGUAUGGUGGUUUAGCUUGCUGCAGUGGGCGGGUUUUAUGGACCAGCCUAUUAGAGGGGCACAGAAUCUUGUUAUGUUCUUACCUCGGUUGGAGAGGCACGUAGGGUAACUCCCGAGGUACAACCUUUGGAGUUCACUUCACGCCAAACCACCACGUGAGGGUGAACUCAGCCAACGCCAAGGAACGACUAUGUUUUCAAAAUAAAAAUAUGAUUUAUGAGUACAUGACUUUUUAACAGCUUUGGCAGACUCGGUUGGGAUAGCCCCGGGCCAAGGUAUCCUUGAUAAUUGAGUACGAGAAUGAUUUUGGCACGAGCCAAAGUUUUAAGAAAUUCAUAAGCCAUGUUGAUUACUCGAUUUUUAUAAAUUGAUUUUAUUUGGUUGAAAUGAGUUGAAAGGUGAUGAAUUACAGUAUGAUGAUCUAUUUUAAUCAUCUCCAUUUACUCAACUUUAGAUAUUUUAGAUGAUAUUUGUUUACUCACUGGGAUUAUAUAAUCUCAACACUCUCCUUUCCACCCCUUUCAGGCUUAGGAUAGUCGGUAGAUAGCUCAUUUCGUUGAGGGCUACAGUUGGACUUGCAUCCUAAAAAACUGUAGGUUUACCGCUUUUGAUACUUUUGGUCCUUCGUGGGCCCACGUGUCACUGUAAAUUAAAUCUUAUGCUUUGGUUAUCUGUAUUACAAUAUGUAUGAAUUUAUUUAGCUUUUACGCUACAAAAAUUAUUUACCGGUAA